AGUACCAACACUGCGGUCUCAGACUUCUAGCCUCCAGAACUGGCAGAAAAUAAUUAUCUGUGGCUUGAGCCGCCUAGUUCGCAGUACUUGCUGCAGCAGUCCUAGCAAAGUAAUCAACCCCAACCUAUCUGGAAGACCCCCUUGCAGGCUGCAACCCUUUAUAAAAAAUAGAGAGAAGAACUAAAUAAAUAAAGAGAUAACACAUGUUCAUGGAUAAGAAGACUCAAUAUUGUCAAGAUGUCAUUUCUUCCCAAAUUGAUCUAUAGACUCAAUGGAAUCCCAAUCAGAAUCUCAGCAAGUUAUAUUGUGAUUAUAGACAAACUUAUUCUAAACUUUAUAUGGAGAGGCAAAAGACCCAGAAUAGCCAACACAAUAUUAAAGAAAAAAACAAAGUUAGAGGACCGUCAUUACCUGACUUUGAGAUUUACUGUAAAGCUACAACAAUCAAAAUUGCAUCAUAUUUGUGAAAGAAUGGACAAGUAGACCAAUCAAAACAAAAUAAAGAGCCCCAAACAGACCCACAUAAAUAUAGUCAACUCAUCUUUGGCAACAGAGUAAAGGCAAUAUAAUGAAGAAAAGAUAGUAUUUUCAACAAAUGGUGCUGGAAGAACUGGAUAUCCACAUGCAAAAAGAUAGAUCCAGACACGGAUCUCAUGCCCUUCAUA
rnacentral:lncRNA from 1 species